AAAAUCCAAAGGUAGUAAACCUAAUCAAUGCUUUCAAAACAUAGCCUAAAUUGGAUUU
rnacentral:tRNA from 1 species